rfam:Ciona savignyi cont_58327, whole genome shotgun sequence.
CCUUCGAUAGCUCAGUUGGUAGAGCGGUGGACUGUAGAGGUUGUAACAGAUAUCCAUAGGUCGCUGGUUCGAAUCCGGCUCGAAGGA